rnacentral:rRNA from 1 species
UGGGGAAUUUUGGACAAUGGGCGCAAGCCUGAUCCAGCCAUGCCGCGUGUCUGAAGAAGGCCUUCGGGUUGUAAAGGACUUUUGUCAGGGAAGAAAAGGAUAGGGUUAAUACCCCUGUCUGAUGACGGUACCUGAAGAAUAAGCACCGGCUAACUACGUGCCAGCAGCCGCGGUAAUACGUAGGGUGCGAGCGUUAAUCGGAAUUACUGGGCGUAAAGCGGGCGCAGACGGUUACUUAAGCAGGAUGUGAAAUCCCCGGGCUCAACCUGGGAACUGCGUUCUGAACUGGGUGACUAGAGUGUGUCAGAGGGAGGUAGAAUUCCACGUGUAGCAGUGAAAUGCGUAGAGAUGUGGAGGAAUACCGAUGGCGAAGGCAGCCUCCUGGGAUAACACUGACGUUCAUGCCCGAAAGCGUGGGUAGCAAACAGGAUUAGAUACCCUGGUAGUCCACGCCCUAAACGACGUCGAUUAGCUGUUGGGCAGCUUGACUGCUUAGUAGCGAAGCUAACGCGUGAAAUCGACCGCCUGGGGAGUACGGUCGCAAGAUUAA